rnacentral:lncRNA from 1 species
UUGCCAAAAUUCUAAUGGAGAAAAAAGGGGGCUGCCCAGUAAUUUUCUUUUCCUCUGACAUUUCAGCACUCCUCCAGUACAUUGCUGUAAUGAAAAUUGGCAGCUCUUGAGAAAAACUAUGCAUUCAGGAGAGAGCACCUGCUACAUGGACCAUGAAUGGCAGGGGAGCCUCUCCAGCCAAACUAUGAAGCCAUUCUUCAAGUGCAUUAGUGGUAAUCCUGCUAGAUAUCCACAGGAGUUCCAGUUCCUUGAAUGAUUAGUUG